GGGGAUAUAGCUCAGCUGGGAGAGCGCUUCGUUCGCAUCGAAGAGGUCAGGGGUUCGAGUCCCCUUAUCUCCACCA
rnacentral:tRNA from 2 species